GCAGAUCUGAAUCUGAAGACAGGCUGGGGCUGGGACUUUGUCAUCACCCAGCUGGGCUUUUGCAGGGCACCAGGGGGCAGAGUACUGAGGUUUGUACCAACCCAGCACUGCCUUCCCAGGCUGAACUGCCACAGCAGUGCCUCAGAAUUUCACAGCUCAGUGAAGCAACAGCGAGAGGUUUUCUUUCCAGGUCAUGACUGUAUAUUAAAGUUGGAGAAGAAUUGCUGUACACUUUAGAAUUUAGUAAAGAAAGAAGAAGAUGACAGCAGAAACCCUCAAGAGGCAUGGCUCUCAUCCUCCAAGGUUACACUCUCCUGGAUCGUCACUUGGAUUGCUCAGCUCAGGAUGGCGUGGCUCCCAGAAUACCCUUUAUAGAGAUGCCAAUGGAAACUCAAAUUAAGAGAUGGAGCUGGGACUUCGCAUGCACAGCUGUCCCUGGGCUGUGCUGUGUGCAGGACACUGUGAUCCCUGAAAUACCUAGGACCUGCUCAUUAAGCUGCUAAGAAGCAGGAAAUACACCUGUGAGACCCAAGGUGCACAAUGAACCCAACAAUUAGCCACCACCACGGGCAGGCGGCAAAUGUUCCAGCAACAAAACACCCAAGGACGGGCGGCUGCUGGUUUCUGACUUUCCUCAUGGUGCUGGGGCCCCUGAUCUGCUUUUGGACUCCUCCCAUUUCUGCACCCUGGUCAGAGCUGCUGAAAAUGGGGGAACUUGGAGGAGAGUUUCUCCUGAUCAAAACAGCUGGUUCAGGUUAUGUGUGGUGUGGGAAAACUAAUACAGAGAAAGAGGCAGGAUAUAACUAGUUUGUCAUCGAUGAUGCAUUCAAUUGCGAAAUUAUUACAAGGAAAAUUGGAUCUAUUUUUCCCCCCAGGUAUGGCUUUGGUAGAACUAUCCCAAAGGUGAAUGAGAAAGUGGAGAUUGAGGUGAAGGCAGGGGGAGAGACAUGGGAAAUUGUCAGCAUUUCAUACUUUGGGGCUGAACUCUUCACCCAUUCCACAAAUAUUUAUUCAGCAUGUUCUCUGAAUCAAUGAGCAAAAUAAUAAGACUGAUGAUAAAACCUGUUUAAAUUCUGGGGCAAGACAGUCUGGAAUAGGGGUUAUGAAUGAACUUGGG
rnacentral:lncRNA from 1 species